rnacentral:lncRNA from 1 species
UUUGGGUUUUGGUCCCUGAUAAAUUUUUUUUUUGAAUUUCAUCUCUGCAAAUUUUUUUAUUUUUUAAAAUAGUCCUUGGACCCACUUUCUUGAUGAUUUGUCACAUUUGUGCAUAUGUGGCAUUAACUGACUAUGCAAACUUGUACAUGUGUCAUCCAUGUGGUAAUUAUUUUAUUUUAAAUAAUUAAAAGACAUUUAAAAAAACCAGAAAAUAUAUUUUUGAAAUUAAAAAAAUCAUUGUCUUCAAGGACAGAAUUUGGAAAACGUGUUCCACUUCUUCUUCCUCACAUCCUCUUCUUCUUCUUCACAAAUCCUCUUUUAGUAGCAGAUCUAGCAAACCAUUUAAAUUGCGAUUAUUAAAACAUAAUCAGUUAAGAAAAUAUGACACCGGAGUUCUCGCUUCUCUCACCUCAUCCACGCUUUUCCGGUGACCUUCCAUCUCUCCGGUGAUGCUCCGAUGAGGCUUUUUUGAUCGUUUUUCUUUGUUCUUGUUGUGGAUCCGUUUCAGAUCCUCGUCUUCCCUCUCUUUGCUCCAUCAAUUUCAUGUGUUUCUAGCUUUUUAGUUUGCUGCAGAUCUGUUCCUCCUGUGUUUUCCGGUUUGGUUCUUUCCGGUGGGUUCUGUUAUGUUUGUCGAGAUCUGUGUGCUGUUGUGUUCAUAGAUCCAGAAAUUUGUGGGCAUAUAUUUGAUGAUAGAUUGUUUAGGAAUGAAAAUAAUAGAGGAAUUAAAAAAAAUAUAAGUAUGAUGAAUUUUUAUAUGUGAAGAAUGUGCAUUUUUGGGAUAAAGAUGAAGAUUAAUGAAGAGGAAUUAAAGAGACUGAUGUUUUUUCAGUUUCAAUUUGAGAAAGAAAUUCACCGUG